GAGGGUAUAGCUAACAUGGUACAGUGUGUGCUUAGCAUGCAUGAGGUCCUGGAUUCAAUUCCCAGUACCGCCC
rnacentral:tRNA from 1 species